AUCUAGUUGACGAGUCCCGAUAGGGACGAAAUGAGCAUCCUGGAU
rnacentral:hammerhead_ribozyme from 1 species